rnacentral:sRNA from 1 species
AUGCUCAGUAUUAGCAGGCUCCAUUGGGAAUGGCUUUAUGGGGGGCAUAAGCAUGAUCUGGCAUUUCCCCCUAAACAUUUUCCUAGAAAAAAAAAAAUCAAGGCUGGCCCGUAAUAAGCAGUAGAAGGGGAAACAAGAAAAUGUCCAGUGGGCAGGGGAGGCCAAAUCGCAGAAAGCCUCGGGUUAUGUCCUAGGCAAGGUAUAUGAGGCAAUGAGAAACGUCCAUGGGCGGAGCGUCCUCGGCAUUAUGUGAGCGGGGUCGGGAUCAGGACUGAAAAGGCACGCAGCACUGACAGCCUGGAUGGCCCAGGGGAGGGCUCGGUGCAGCCUCUACCCACUGCUGGGGGGCCCAGUGUGAAGGGGAAGCCUGGGAAGAGGCUCUCAGCUCCUCGAGGCCCCUUCCCACGGCUGGCUGACUGCGCCCAUUUCCACUACGAGAACGUUGACUUUGGCCACAUUCAGCUCCUGCUGUCUCCAGACCGUGAAGGGCCCAGCCUCUCUGGAGAGAAUGAGCUGGUGUUCGGGGUGCAGGUGACCUGUCAGGGCCGUUCCUGGCCGGUUCUCCGGAGUUACGAUGACUUUCGUUCCCUGGAUGCCCACCUCCACCGAUGCAUAUUUGACCGGAGGUU